rnacentral:lncRNA from 1 species
GGCUGAAGUACAGUGGCAUGAUCACAGCUCACUGUAGCUUCAACCUACUUCUCAUUUUUGAAAUCCAGUAAACUUAAGAUCUUUCAGAGUAAUGCUCUUUAUCAAUUUAUCUUCUCUAAAAGUAUAGAUUUUUAUGUCUGAAAAAUCCAAAAUGCUCCUCCGCCCUCAUCUCUGUGUGUGCAGGAAUAAUCACACUGAUUUUGAUACCCCAGGAUUUUGUGUUGCAUGUUAAAUAUCACCUGAUGUUCAUUUUCAUGCUUGGGUUAUUGCUAGUAACCCAGAAGUUUGGCAAGACAAAAUUCGAUUUUGAGUCUAGAACAAUCAAACCUUGAACAAGCACUGAGCAAUGCUAACGUUCUCUUGGAUGGUGAUGUCAAUGAUUGCGUCUCACAGAACGAGGCUUAUCCCUGAGGCUGCUUGGAAAUGGACAAUUCAGGAAGAAUCAAUGGAGAGCUGCAUUUUUGAUGGAUGAACCAUUAGAAAAUUCUACGGCAUUUUUCCCAUGACCUUUCCUGAAGACAGAUGAAUAGCCUUUCAAAGGUUGCAUUUUAUUUCAUGUUCAAAGAAGAAAAAAAAAGAAAGGAAGGAAAAAAGAAAACCUCGCCAGAUGAGGCACAUUAAAAACAACAUAGUCAAGUUAGGUUCUUUCUCAAUGUAAAACACAUAAAUACAGGGAAAAGGAGGAUGGUGGUUAAAGGUAUCCUAUGGAAAAGCAAGAGUGAUUAGCAAAGAUGGCAGAAGAAUCAGCAUAACUCGAGGAAGUUCUCAGUUUCCUGGAAACAGCUUCUAACCAACACUCCCACUCUGUGAGUUAUUUUCAUACUUAAUAAAACUAAUCCAGUUACUGUCCUUCUGGGGCA